ACUUUAAUAGCUUAAUAAUAGAGCAUAAUAUUGAAGAUAUUAAGGUGAUUUUUUUAUCUUAAAGUA
rnacentral:tRNA from 1 species